CACUCUUCAACUGGAGCUGAUUGUGACAGUUGAAGCUGACUCUCAGUCAGUUCUUCUCACAGGAGAUGGAACCCACUCACCAGAGCAGAGCUGGACCACCUUGUACGCUCACACAUUGUGUCGGGCCCCGCAAAUCAAGCAAGGCCCCGCCUCCCCCUUGUAUCACAGCAAAUGUCUCAGCGAGUGAAGCGUUGGUUUUAGCCACGAGUUCUGAGCAGCUGUGUGUUAAUGUGCAGCCACUUAGCAGCACCUGCAUUUAAAGAACAUCUGUAACUGGGGAAGCUCCAGACAAUAUCCUGGGUUCCACCUUUAUUAGAGUCCUCAUUGGAGGAUUUGAUCUUCCACAGCAACUCCACUUUGUAUCUGAGCCACAAAUACUAAAGUGGGAGUUUAUAUUCAAGAGGAAAAACUGUGUCCAAGAACAUAAGAAGUCAGAUGGAGCUGAAAUAUUGAUUCUGAGAUAACGUGUACUCUUUCUGAUCAGAGAUAUAAAAGAGUCAGAGGAGCUUCACAACACUUCUGGAGCAAAGUGAAUCUACAGCAGAUGUGAAGGAGGAAACUGUGAUAUUUCAAACACUGACGACAUAAGACAAGAUGCAGUGGGACAGGAGAGUGAAUGAAAAGUGUGCGAGGGGUAAAGUUGUGAGUCGGGGCCGAACAGGGCCGAGACUCCUCCUUCUAAUCUGAGUCUAAACACAGAGAUCACAGCUUCUUUCCUCUUUCUACUCACAGUGACUCAACACUGCAGAUAUGACGCCUCUGUUCAUCUCAGUGCUGCUGGCUGCUCUGUGUCUUGAAGGCAGAGCACAACAAGACACUGUGCUGCAACCAGAAGGAGACGUGACUGCGACUGAAGGAGAAGCAGCAACACUUGGCUGUCGAUACGUCAGCAGCUCAGCAAGUGCAUCUCUCCACUGGUACAAACAGGAAGGAACCAACAGCCCAAAAUUCAUCCUGAGCCGCUUUCAACUGGGAGAAGGAAACAAGGCAGACGACUUCAGAGAGAGAUUUUCAUCCACACUGAAUUCCACAUCAUUUCCUCUGAAGAUCCAGAAGCUGCAGCCGUCUGACUCUGCUGUGUACUACUGUGCUCUGCAGCCCACAGUGACAGGAAACUACACAACUCUGUACAAAAACCUGUGGAGCAAAGACAAUACUCCUCUUCCUCCACCAGAGGGAGUCACUCACUGUUACUCUCACAACCUGAGCUGAGCCACUGCACCAACCUCAGAUCAAGUGAACU